CUUACAAUGCAAACUGUUUCGCUGGAAUCUUAAUGUCCGAACUGUAGAACAAAUUCUUUGGAUGAUGAUCAUCUUUGUUGCAAAGUUAUGAAGCGAAGACAAUUGGGUUCUGAAAUAAGGUCGCGGAAUAAUAGUCUGCGAACGGAAUGCAAUUGAGCGACGUCCUAAAUAGAGAUUAAAGAUCCAAGAAUUCUGUCGACCGAACGUGUCUAUAGACGUUGCAUCCGGUGCAUCGUGCAAGGUGCUUCUUACAUCGCGACGAUGAAAAUCAAGGAGCAGAAGGUAUAAGCAAUAAGAUAUAAUGCCGCGGCGGAAAGAGGAGAACUAGAUUGCAAGAAAAGGAUGGAACAAGAUCGGGAAUGUCGAGUUGACCAUCUCGAUGACCAUGAUAAAAAGAUCGCGCGAAGGCAGACGUGACUCAGCCCAUCGUACGCAUACGCGAGACGCGGAUAACAGGGACCUCGGAAACCCCGGAAAGGAGAAAGUAUGCUCUGCGACUCAUCCGCGGAUUUCUGAGAGAGCGGACAAUCGCGGUCGUUUACUUGGAAAUUUGUUUUUUUAGGUCGAUUUCAAUUAUCACGUAGUCCGUGAGAUCCAGCAAUCGCCGCAGUUAAUCCGCAUUGAGUGAAAUGCUGGUUCCGUGUAUACAAUGGGAAACAACGGUACACAGCAUGUAUCCAACCGCUUCGAGAAACCAAUGAAAAUUAAUGGUAACAGGUGAUGUUAUCAGUUCUCGCAUAUAACAAACAUGCGAUUAGACAAACGGAUCCUUCAGCUUAUAUUAAUAAUUUAGUAUAAGUCUUCUUAUUAGCGAAUGGAUGCAAACACAAAUCAAUACAGAACCACUUUCACGUACUUCACUUUCUAAAUCACUUUCCGUGAAAAUCAAUUAAUUACCAGGCACAACUACGCACCUGCUACGUAUCUCAUCACACCUGAUUAUUAAGUGAUCUGUAUGAUAUGAAUAUAGAAACAUGUAUUAUUGGUAAAAAAGUAAUUAAUGCCAUACACUUUGAGGAGCAUAAUGCUUGAUUUUAUUCUAAUAGGAUAUGAGAUUUCUUGAUUUUGCAAUUAUAGACAAAUGUACUGUAUCAAGACAUAGCCACAGUUGCGCAAAUUAA